GUGCUACUACAGCAACCGGCUGCUUUACAGCCUUCGGAGGAGCCACUCUAGAAGUAUUGGUGGGUACAUAGAUUUUGGUUGGCCCUUUCUUUGUUUGUGAACUGACAAUUGAUGCAUACGACUUCUUUGGAGCAUACUCUUGGGCAACAGAAUUAACUGAUUCUGUAUUUGUAGGGUGCUGGUCCUCGUUGAAAUAGGAUCCAGUUUCCACAACAAUCUCUCUUUCAUCAGCAACUUGCCUCCCAUCUACCGAAGAGUCAUUGGCUU
rnacentral:misc_RNA from 1 species